GAAAUGAAAACGCUGAAAUAAAAACGGAUUACAAUAAACACGAUAAACCUAUAUUGUUUUACAGCUUAUAUCAUAAAUAUAAACUUUUGGAGUUUAUAAGUAUUAAAAUGUUGGACUCAACAAGUUUUCGUGCAACAUAACUACGAACAAAUAGGACACUAUAAUAGUAGAGUCGAAUUCGGAAUAAGCAAAUGUUUUGGUGAAAAGAACAGUUAUUAAGACAUGGGAAUGUGUUGUUAGUAUAAGAAAAGCGAUUGAAGAGACAUGGAGCAUGUAAGGGUCUCGGUCCCCUACAAGAGAAAAACAAAUGCCAUUAAAGCUGAGCUAUCCAACAAGGAAGAUGAAGAUAGAAAUAUUAUGCAGCUUUGUCACUUCUCCUAUCACUUUUUAUCACUGUCUCCCUAUCCUUUCUUACUUCACAUCUUCUCAUCCAUGUUCUAUUAAGUCCUUCCAUGGCUUAUGUUAGGCCACCUAUUAUAUUGCACGGAAACAAAAAUGUUGAAAUAAAAAUAUUGAAUAUGAGAAAUGGCGGAAUAAUAUUUUUUAGGCAAAAUAGAUUUAUCUGUCGAUUGUCCAUUUGUAAAAUAUACUAUAAUUUUUAAAUUUUAUCAGUUUGUUCUAUUAUUAUUUAGCUAUUGUCGGAAAUAUUUACUCAUUCGUAGUUGAUGUGACAUAAUAUUAUAUAUCUAUCUGUAUAAAAUUUAACCUAUUUGACAUAUACAAUAAGUGCAUACAUCAACUCCAUACCAAUGAGGUAUAGGUUUUUUUGGCAACGUUGGUGGAAUUUACACUAGUAAAAUUCAAAGAUCAUGAUGAUGUGUAUGGCAAAUAGGUAAUAGUUGGUGGUAGAUAAAUUCAUUUGUAAUAUAUUAAAAAUAUUAAGUUUUUGUGUUUUUAAUUUAUUUUUGAUAAUGGAACACCCGAAAUGUAAAAAUCGAUAAAUUUCCGUGCAAUAUCCGUUUUGGACACCAAACAAGCAUCAUGUACUGGACCCUAUUUGCUGAGGGGACCAGAAAAACUCACCAUUUCUCGUAUAUUUUGAGUAUUUGAUGCAAUCAUCCUCUGUCAAAAGGUCCGGUUUAAUCAUAACAUGUAAUGUUCAAGAUAGUUGGAAUUUAUUGGUUUCUCUAACUAGUUUCAAAUCAGAGGGUCACUGCUAAAGCUGCUUUCUUGAUGACCGGGAAUAAUAAACAUAUAAAGAACUGUAUGGUUGAACUUGAAUAUAUAGUGUUGCAGAAACAUUAGCAUAAAACAAAGUGCAUUGACAUGAUUGUGUUCCAAAAUUAAACCUCAAGGUUUGUGUGAGGAUUUACUGUUGACCGGAAGUGAAAACAAACACGGAUAUGAAAACGGAAACUAUGAAUUGAAUUUUUUAGUAAUAUAAGAAAUGUAAACGUGUAAAUAAUAAAAAUAAACAUAUAAAAAUAUAUUUAUAAAUGUUAAUUAUAAAACUUCAUAACAAUAUAUUUAUGACAAUCCUAAAAUAAACAAUUUGAGUAUAAUCAAAUUUAUAACGAUAAAGAUUGUAUUUUAAGAAAAGAAAGAGAGUUAACAUGUUUGUAGAUUAUAGAUAACUUUUAUAAUAAGAUAUAUGGAUGACUAAUUAGGCCUAUUCAGUCUGGUCCAUCAUUAUAUUUUUCUUUUUAGGUCUUUUUUAGGAAAUGAGUAUCUAAUUUUUAUUAUUUGUAUAAAUGGUUUUCGAAACAUUUCGUAUGAGUUUCUCGGAGUUCCACGGAUUCCGCAAGGUUUUUGUGCAUCGUAGACUGUCAACAAUAUCAGAAAAACAUGCAACCUGUCCCUUAAAGGCACCUUGGAAUCAGAGUUAGCUCAGAAUUGAAGCAUAUGCCUACCUUACAGAUUUUAUGAUUUCAUUUCAAGUUUCUGUGCCAAUGUUUGUCCUCUGACAUUGAACAACAUAAGAAAAGAAUGGAAUAUUUUACUUGCUACUUGCAUUUGGAGGUCAGAACUUGAAGAAAGCAAGGAAUGUGGUUAAAACAAAAGUUCGAAAUUAAAAGCGGUAAUUAUGAUAGACAGUAACAACAAUGGUGAAGAUUUUACACACCAAUUGAUUUCUUGCAAUGGAGAACUGCCUCGUAAAUUGAGCUCUCAGAGUCGCAUGAUCUUCGCCAAUCAUCGACAGAGUAAGCAACGCUUAUUCUUGGAGAUGUUUCGGCAGAAUAUGUCCAUCUCUUCAUUGCAUGAACUCUUUUAUCCAUUUUUUCAGUUCUACAACUCGACCUGUGACCUCGAAUUCUUUGAUACAAUGGCCUAAGAAAAUCGAAGUACUUCCGAAACACCUGUUUUGACAAUGUUCGACACCUUCUCAAUGAAGAACAGCGAGUUCUCCUCGCAGAAACGACACUUUCUGGCGUGUGUGAUGAGGCAGGAAUUUCCGAGCUUGAAUCUGAAACCUCAUAGCUCUCAAUUUUCAAUGGAUCAACAAAAAACGGCAUGACAUAACCAUUGGAAAAAAGCUCAUCUGCAUGAACAACAGUAAGAGGAGAUUGUGAAAUCGGGCAAUCGAACUUGAAGUCCUGAGAGUUUCUAAAGAAUCUCUUAGAGGGUGGCAUUCUAGGGUCCAUCUCAAUGAAGGAAGCCUCAUCGGAUGCGUCAAGGGAGGCUCUAACGGAACUGUCCAAGCUCUCUAAAGACGGUUUUAGGUUUACUAGCCAGCUAUACGAAAAGCUUUCAAUAGACAGAGGUUGAGAAGUUUCCAUGGAUGACACUCUUUUGACAAGAUUACAAUAGAAAUAAAGGAAAGAAAUACAGAGUAGGUAUUUUACAAAGGUCGUCCGCCUGUCAAAUAUAUCUCAAAAACACAUUUAUAUAUACCACAAUAUAUAGCCUAUAUCUAGCAAAUUGGAUAUGUGGCUUUCUUGAAAUAGACAAUGACUUUUAAUAUUUGAAAUUGGAAAAAAGGGGAAAAGAAACAGAAAUGUGUGCCCCCACAAGCACCCAUUAGCAUCACCA